rnacentral:lncRNA from 1 species
CAGGCCCUUCCUUGUUCUCAGUGAGUUCUGUGAUCUUCAUGGGAAACCGCAGCCCCCUGCUCCCUCUGCUUGAGGCCCUGAGAGGCUGGCUGUACUCAUUCCACAGACCAGAAGUUGAUUGCUGUUGGUUCAUAAUGUUGUUGAUGGAAAAAAGCACCACCUAGGUCUGUCUGGCACCUGGAACUCCAUGUUAGGAAGCCUGAGUGUACACAGGUCUGAGAAGAGCCUCACACAGCCCAUACCUGGUACUGAGCCUCCAGCUAUCUCCCUGCACCAAAGAGUGUCAGCAAAAGGAGUUUAUGAUCUCAUUGGAGAGAUAAGAUCUGCACAGUCCCUGGAGAACAUCAGGAUUGGAUACAGAAUGAAGAGCAGAAAUGGGCCAGAGGAGACACGGAAGUCCUGUGGAAAAUAACAAAAUGUUGCUUAACAUCUCAACACUCAAGAAAAAUGUGAAGCUGGGAAAGUAGACUUGGUGGUCUUCAGAACCUGCUGGUGCUAUGCUUGGUCUUCCACCACCACAGGGAAAACAGCCCCCCUCCAGCUUGCAAGGUUGCUUUUCAAGAGGCAGUCACCCCAGCAUCUCUCUACAUCAAAAUCUCUGCUAAAGCCAUGGCCCGGUGACCUUUCCCAAGCAGGUCAGCGAAGACUCUCAUAGCAUCACAGUUUGGGAGAAAAACACAGCCCAAGCCAGCACCCAAGUGCAAUGCUGGGUAAAUGCCUCUGGGAUUGGUCCAGGCCUGG